UUGAUAAAUAUAUAAUUCUAACAACAUAUUUUGUGAUUAAUCAUGAGCUAAAUUAAAACAAAAAUAAAAGAGAUAGACAAAGUCAUUAACUAAAAAUAAUAAUCAAAGUCAUAAACAUAAAAGAUAGAACACAAACUUAAAUAAUAAACGAAGUCAUAAACAAAAAUAGUAAAAAUAUCUAGUAAGGUAAACGCCCUUUACCAUAUUCGUUAGUAAUAUUGGUACGCAAAGCUUCCAUCGCUCGAUCACCCGUCGGCUCAUAUGCAAUAUGUCCUUCUUCUUCCUCUUCUUCUUCUCCGUCUUCUUCCUCUCCUUCUCCUUCUCCUUCUCCUUCUCCUUCUUCUUCUCCUUCUACUUCUUCAUCACCAGGAUAUUCUUCUGUGCUUUGCCAAUGCGAAAAAUCAUCAUCUUCUUGAUGUGAAUCCCGUAUGAAAUUGUGUAGUGCCAUCGUCGCUGUUACAAGCUUAAUCCACUUAGUCAAACCAUAUUUUGGAUGCUUACGAUCCAAAAUCCUUCAUUUUGCUUUCCAUACGCCAAAUGUCCUCUCAAUCACAGAUCGCAAACCUGAAUGCUUCCGGUUAAACAACUCUCGUGCAGUCACUGGCGGUCCUCCUCUUGCAAAUUGACCAAGAUGAUAUCGCAUCCCGCGAUGUGGACCAAGAUAACCUCUCCUAGUAGGAUAUCCGGAGUCAACAAGAUAGUACUUUCCACUAGGCGGAUGUGGGAAAGCAGGUUCAUGCUCGCACAAUGUGUCAAAACCUUUGUAUCAUGUGCUCUACCAGGUACACCGACAUACGCGUAUAUGAACUUCAUAUCGAAAUUACAUAUAGCAAGAACAUUUAUGGUAAGUUCUUGCUUUCUACCUUCAUAUGCUUCAACAGAUCGACUAGGCGGGCGAACCGGGAUAUGAGUUCCAUCAAGUGCUCCAACACAAUCUUUAAAAAAUGGCCAAUAUCGAUCAUCAUUCUUCAAAACAGGGUUUACUCUUGUAAAUUCACCUUCUUGUGGCUUAAGCGUAUCUGCUGCAAACUUGAGGAGAGCACUCAUAACAUCAUCAAUCUUUGAAAGCAAUUUUCUAUCAAACUAAAUGGAACCAGAAAACUAUCUUUAUAUUAAUGGAAAGAUCUUGCUGUCUAGUUUCCAGAACAUAUUUCAGAUAUAAAAUCCGAGGUCUUUAGCCACACAAGCAACACAAUCAAAUAAUCUCAAUCCAUUAUAGCAAAAUCCAUCAAAACAACACAAUCAACUAAUCUCUAUCUAUGCUAAAACAGAUAUGGAGAAAUUACAGAAGAAGAUCCAGAAUAGCUUACCAAGAGAACAAAGAUGAGAGCAGAGGAGCAGAGAAAUCGAAUCUGGAAAU
rnacentral:lncRNA from 1 species